GAGAAAAAGCUUUGUUGUUGUUGUUGUUGUUAUGGCUGAUGAGUUUAUACAAACACUUUUAAAUUGGUAUUUAUAAUUUCUUAUUCAUACACGAGUGUCAUACAUGCAGCUACAUAAUUAGUACGUGUAGGAACAUAAACAAAGAGUCAUAUAUGUCGUCUCAUAAUGGACACACGUAUUAUCUCUUUUAUUAUCUAGAUAUAUACACGAAGAUCAUAUAUCCCACCUUACAAUUGGAGUGCGUAUGACUUCUCUUAUCGUCUAUAUGCACGAUUUUAAGAUUGGUUAACCCUACUCCUCAUUUCGCACUAGGAAACGUUGUUGAGAGGAAUCAGGACAGUCUUCUAGGGAUGUCUUUGAGUUUCAGUAUAGCCCAGUUGGCAACCGUAGAGCUUAUUUAUAUUAACUUUAUUUGUGAAUUC
rnacentral:lncRNA from 1 species